rnacentral:lncRNA from 1 species
GGAGCGGGAGGGUCCGGGCAGUUUUAGUAGUGUCUUUGGGACAACGGCUGCGGUUGGUAUUUCUCAAGCGGCAACGAGGCCAGCCCCUGGGAAUGCAGCACGAGAAUGAUAGAGUCAGGCUGUCCCCUCAAGAAAUAGUUUAGUGAGGAGACAUGCAGCGGAUAGGCGCAGGAUUCUUCAGAGUUGUGAUUGGGCCCAAAAAGGAGCUAGUCCUCAGACUAAAAAGAGCCGUAGUGCCGGGGUUCUGGGCGCUGUAGUAAAUGGACUCCAAAUGGAGUUGAAGGGAGGGAGGAGUGCGUCAGGCGGAGAUGAAAGGAGAGAGGGAACUACCUGUCCGAUAGGGCAGAAUCGGGGAGAAAGGUUGGUGACUUGAGCUUAGAGAAGGCCAUUGCGGCGGUAGCAGAAGAGGAGAGGCAGGGACCAGAUCGUAGAGUGUGGAACACCGUGACACAAAGUUGGGGCUUUAUCAUAAGAGCAGCAGAAUGACAAGAUCUGAUGUACAUUUUGAAAGGAUCACUGUAACUGCUGGUGACGACUGGAUUAUAGGAGGGCAGGAAUUGUGAGAAACCACUCAGAAGGCUACUGCUGUAGAUGAGCGAUGUGACCUAGCGUAUGGGAGAGAAGUGGACGAAUCAAAAGUAUAUUUAGCAGGUGAAAAUUCAGGACUUUACGGAUUAGAUAUAGGAUUUGAGUGACAGGUUGGGUCUCAACGAUGAUUCCAAGUUUCUGACCUGAUAGAAUCCUGCUUAUCUGUGAAAUGCAGUUAACACAUCAGCUGGACCUAUUUCCCGAAUGCAGGGUAACCCUUCUGUUAUUUAAAGAUGUAAAAAAUGCGGGAGACUUGAGAAGAAAGGCCAUGGAAGGCACCAUCGAUGGAUCACUGAUAAAUCCUACAGUGAUUGUUGAUCCAUUUCAGAUACUUGUGGCAGCAAACAAAGCAGUUCACCUCUACAAACUGGGAAAAAUGAAGACAAGAACUCUAUCUACUGAAAUUAUUUUCAACCUUUCCCCAAAUAACAAUGUAAUGUGCACUUUCC